rnacentral:rRNA from 1 species
UACGUAGGGGGCAAGCGUUGUCCGGAUUUAUUGGGCGUAAAGAGCGUGUAGGCGGCCAGACAAGUCUGCUGUGAAAACUCGAGGCUCAACCUCGAGCUGUCGGUGGAAACUGUCUGACUAGAGUCCGGAAGAGGAGAGUGGAAUUCCUGGUGUAGCGGUGAAAUGCGCAGAUAUCAGGAAGAACACCCGUGGCGAAGGCGGCUCUCUGGGACGGUACUGACGCUGAGACGCGAAAGCGUGGGGAGCGAACAGG